rnacentral:rRNA from 1 species
AGAGUUUGAUCCUGGCUCAGGAUAAACGCUGGCGGCGCACAUAAGACAUGCAAGUCGAACGGAGAGAGACGAUUUGUUUACAAAUUGUUGAACUUAGUGGCGGACUGGUGAGUAACACGUAAGUAACCUAGGUAUGAGAGGGGAAUAACAAUGAGAAAUCAUUGCUAAUACCUCAUAAUACUAUUCUAUCGCAUGGUAGGAUAGUCAAAGGAGAAAUCCGCUCAUAGAUGGGCUUGCGGCUGAUUAGCUAGUUGGAGUGGUAGAGGCACACCAGCACACCAAGGCAACGAUCAGUAGCCGAACUGAGAGGUUAAACGGCCACAUUGGGACUGAGAUACGGCCCAGACUCCUACGGGAGGCAGCAGUCGGGAAUAUUGCGCAAUGGAGGGAACUCUGACGCAGUGACGCCGCGUAUAGGAAGAAGGUUUUAGGAUUGUAAACUAUUUUCCUGAAGAAUAAGCCCCGGCAAACUAUGUGCCAGCAGCCGCGGUAAUACAUAGGGGGCAAGCGUUAUCCGGAAUUAUUGGGUGUAAAGGGUGCGUAGAUGGACAUGAAAGUUGAUUGUGAAAUCCUCAGGCUCAACUUGAGAACUGCAAUCAAAACUAUGUGACUUGAGUACAAGAGGGGAAAGCGGAAUUCCUAGUGUAGCGGUGAAAUGCGUAGAUAUUAGGAGGAACACCGGUGGCGAAGGCGGCUUUCUGGAUUGUAACUGACGUUGAUGCACGAAAGUGUGGGGAGCAAACAGGAUUAGAUACCCUGGUAGUCCACACUGUAAACGAUGGAUACUAGGUGUAGGCUGAGUUAAAUCGGUCUGUGCCGACGCAAACGCAGUAAGUAUCCCACCUGAGGAGUACGGCCGCAAGGUUGAAACUCAAAGGAAUUGACGGGGGCCCGCACAAGCAGUGGA